UACGUAGGGUGCGAGCGUUAAUCGGAAUUACUGGGCGUAAAGCGUGCGCAGGCGGUUUUGUAAGCCAGAUGUGAAAUCCCCGGGCUUAACCUGGGAAUGGCAUUUGGGACUGCAAGGCUGGAGUUUGGCAGAGGAGACUGGAAUUCCCGGUGUAGCAGUGAAAUGCGCAGAUAUCAGGAGGAACACCGGUGGCGAAGGCGGAUCUCUGGGCCUUACCUGACGCUGAGGCGCGAAAGCUAGGGGAGCGAACAGG
rnacentral:rRNA from 1 species